rnacentral:rRNA from 1 species
GACGAACGCUGGCGGCGUGCCUAAUACAUGCAAGUAGAACGGUGAAGGCCGAGCUUUCUUCGCUGGAUGAGUUGCGAACGGGUGAGUAACACGUGGGUAACCUGCCCGGUAGCUUGGGAUAACUUUUGGAAACGGUGGCUAAUACCGCAUAAGAGCAGCUGUUGCAUGGCGUGGGCUUGAAAGGUUCGGCGGUUGGGGUAGGACAUGCGGCUGAUCAGCAUUAUGGUGUGGGUGUGGCAUCGCCACGCCUUGGCGGGGAGCCAGCCUGGGAGGGUGACCGGCCACAUUGGGACUGAGAUAGGGCCCAGACUGCUACGGGGGGCAUCAGUGGGGAAUAUUGCACAAUGGGCGGAAGCCUGAUACAGCGACUCCGCGUGCGGGAUGACGGCCUUCGGGUUGGAAACCGCUUGCGCCUGUGACGAAGCGUGAGUGACGGUAAUGGGUAAAGAAGCACCGGCUAACUACGUG